rnacentral:rRNA from 1 species
GGGGGGGGGCGUGCUAUACAUGCAGUCGAACGCUUCUUUUUCCACCGGAGCUUGCUCCACCGGAAAAAGAGGAGUGGCGAACGGGUGAGUAACACGUGGGUAACCUGCCCAUCAGAAGGGGAUAACACUUGGAAACAGGUGCUAAUACCGUAUAACAAUCAAAACCGCAUGGUUUUGAUUUGAAAGGCGCUUUCGGGUGUCGCUGAUGGAUGGACCCGCGGUGCAUUAGCUAGUUGGUGAGGUAACGGCUCACCAAGGCCACGAUGCAUAGCCGACCUGAGAGGGUGAUCGGCCACAUUGGGACUGAGACACGGCCCAAACUCCUACGGGAGGCAGCAGUAGGGAAUCUUCGGCAAUGGACGAAAGUCUGACCGAGCAACGCCGCGUGAGUGAAGAAGGUUUUCGGAUCGUAAAACUCUGUUGUUAGAGAAGAACAAGGAUGAGAGUAACUGUUCAUCCCUUGACGGUAUCUAACCAGAAAGCCACGGCUAACUACGUGCCAGCAGCCGCGGUAAUACGUAGGUGGCAAGCGUUGUCCGGAUUUAUUGGGCGUAAAGCGAGCGCAGGCGGUUUCUUAAGUCUGAUGUGAAAGCCCCCGGCUCAACCGGGGAGGGUCAUUGGAAACUGGGAGACUUGAGUGCAGAAGAGGAGAGUGGAAUUCCAUGUGUAGCGGUGAAAUGCGUAGAUAUAUGGAGGAACACCAGUGGCGAAGGCGGCUCUCUGGUCUGUAACUGACGCUGAGGCUCGAAAGCGUGGGGAGCAAACAGGAUUAGAUACCCUGGUAGUCCACGCCGUAAACGAUGAGUGCUAAGUGUUGGAGGGUUUCCGCCCUUCAGUGCUGCAGCUAACGCAUUAAGCACUCCGCCUGGGGAGUACGACCGCAAGGUUGAAACUCAAGGAAUUGACGGGGGCCCGCACAAGCGGUGGAGCAUGUGGUUUAAUUCGAAGCAACGCGAAGAACCUUACCAGUCUUGACAUCCUUUGACCACUCUAGAGAUAGAGCUUCCCCUUCGGGGGCAAAGUGACAGGUGGUGCAUGGUUGUCGUCAGCUCGUGUCGUGAGAUGUUGGUUAAGUCCCGCAACGAGGCGCAA